GCCAGACUCCUACGGGAGGCAGCAGUCGGGAAUAUUGCACAAUGGAGGAAACUCUGAUGCAGUGACGCCGCGUGCAGGAAGAAGGUUUUCGGAUUGUAAACUGCUUUAGACAGGGAAGAAACAAGACAGUACCUGUAGAAUAAGCUCCGGCUAACUACGUGCCAGCAGCCGCGGUAAUACGUAGGGAGCAAGCGUUAUCCGGAUUUAUUGGGUGUAAAGGGUGCGUAGACGGGUAUAUAAGUUAGUUGUGAAAUCCCUCGGCUCAACUGAGGAACUGCAACUAAAACUGAUUUUCUUGAGUACUGGAGAGGAAAGUGGAAUUCCUAGUGUAGCGGUGAAAUGCGUAGAUAUUAGGAGGAACACCAGUGGCGAAGGCGACUUUCUGGACAGUAACUGACGUUGAGGCACGAAAGUGUGGGGAGCAAACAGGAUUAGAUACCCCCGUAAAA
rnacentral:rRNA from 1 species